CACGUAGGGUGCGAGCGUUGUCCGGAAUUAUUGGGCGUAAAGAGCUCGUAGGCGGUGUGUCGCGUCGGCCGUGAAAACCUGGGGCUUAACUCUGGGCUUGCGGUCGAUACGGGCAUCACUGGAGUUCGGCAGGGGAGACUGGAAUUCCUGGUGUAGCGGUGAAAUGUGCAGAUAUCAGGAGGAACACCGGUGGCGAAGGCGGGUCUCUGGGCCGAUACUGACGCUGAGGAGCGAAAGCGUGGGGAGCGAACAGG
rnacentral:rRNA from 1 species